AUUCUGCCUUGAGGUUUUGGGGAGACACCAUGAGCAGGCAGUGGUUUUCCCAGGGUGAGGCUCAUCCCCUGCACUCCGGGUGUGCUGACCCCUGCAGUUUCCCCAAAUGCCAGAACUCAACUGCAUAACUUGUGGUAGAGGGGGACUGCGUUCGCACUUACAAACCCUG